CCUACGGGAGGCAGCAGUGGGGAAUAUUGGACAAUGGGGGCAACCCUGAUCCAGCCAUGCCGCGUGUGUGAAGAAGGCCCUCGGGUUGUAAAGCACUUUCAGCGAGGAAGAACGCCUAGCGGUUAAUACCCGUUAGGAAAGACAUCACUCGCAGAAGAAGCACCGGCUAACUCCGUGCCAGCAGCCGCGGUAAUACGGAGGGUGCAAGCGUUAAUCGGAAUUACUGGGCGUAAAGCGCGCGUAGGUGGCUUGAUAAGCCGGUUGUGAAAGCCCCGGGCUCAACCUGGGAACGGCAUCCGGAACUGUCAGGCUAGAGUGCAGGAGAGGAAGGUAGAAUUCCCGGUGUAGCGGUGAAAUGCGUAGAGAUCGGGAGGAAUACCAGUGGCGAAGGCGGCCUUCUGGACUGACACUGACACUGAGGUGCGAAAGCGUGGGUAGCAAACAGGAUUAGAUACCCUGGUAGUCCACGCCGUAAACGAUGUCGACCAGCCGUUGGGUGCCUAGAGCACUUUGUGGCGAAGUUAACGCGAUAAGUCGACCGCCUGGGGAGUACGGCCGCAAGGUUAAAACUCAAAUGAAUUGACGG
rnacentral:rRNA from 1 species